CACUGCCGAGAAAAGCCUCUAGAUAGAAAAUAGGUGCCCGUACCGCAAACCGACACAGGUAGUCAAGAUGAGAAUUCUAAGGUGAGCGAGCGAACUCUCGUUAAGGAACUCGGCAAAAUGACCCCGUAACUUCGGGAGAAGGGGUGCUCUUUAGGGUUAACGCCCAGAAGAGCCGCAGUGAAUAGGCCCAAGCGACUGUUUAUCAAAAACACAGGUCUCUGCUAAACCGUAAGGUGAUGUAUAGGGGCUGACGCCUGCCCGGUGCUGGAAGGUUAAGAGGAGUGGUUAGCUUCUGCGAAGCUACGAAUCGAAGCCCCAGUAAACGGCGGCCGUAACUAUAACGGUCCUAAGGUAGCGAAAUUCCUUGUCGGGUAAGUUCCGACCCGCACGAAAGGCGUAACGAUUUGGGCACUGUCUCAACGAGAGACUCGGUGAAAUCAUAGUACCUGUGAAGAUGCAGGUUACCCGCGACAGGACGGAAAGACCCC
rnacentral:rRNA from 1 species